GCACUGGUGGCUCAGUGGUAGAGCGUCGCACUCGUAAUGCGAAGGUCGUGGGUUCAAUCCCCAUCCGGUGCA